GACGAACGCUGGCGGCGCGCCUAACACAUGCAAGUCGAACGAGCGAGAGAGAGCUUGCUUUCUCGAGCGAGUGGCGAACGGGUGAGUAACGCGUGAGGAACCUGCCUCAAAGAGGGGGACAACAGUUGGAAACGACUGCUAAUACCGCAUAAGCCCACGGCUCGGCAUCGAGCGGGGGGAAAAGGAGCAAUCCGCUUUGAGAUGGCCUCGCGUCCGAUUAGCUAGUUGGUGAGGUAACGGCCCACCAAGGCGACGAUCGGUAGCCGGACUGAGAGGUUGACCGGCCACAUUGGGACUGAGACACGGCCCAGACUCCUACGGGAGGCAGCAGUGGGGAAUAUUGCACAAUGGGGGAAACCCUGAUGCAGCGACGCCGCGUGGAGGAAGAAGGUCUUCGGAUUGUAAACUCCUGUUGUUGGGGAAGAUAAUGACGGUACCCAACAAGGAAGUGACGGCUAACUACGUG
rnacentral:rRNA from 1 species